NUUCCGUAGGUGAACCUGCGGAAGGAUCAUU
rnacentral:rRNA from 1 species